UCUGUCUCUCUGUCUCUCUGUCUCUCUCUGGCCACCAGAAGGUGGAGCUGCAGCAUCUUAUCAGUAUACACACAAAAUGGACAAAACAUGACUUCUUUUAACCGGAGUGUUAAUCCAGCAGCGGAUGAGACGCAGCACGGAGCACGCAGAAGUAAAAAACAGGAAGAGUGACGGAGUGUAUAGGUGCGAGCAGUGACAUUAGGAAUGUCUCCUCUGGUUUUAAUGCACCGUUGCCCGUCGGUGGAGGAUGCAGGCUAAAGCUCGGCACACAUGAAGCCCAUUUACCGUCAUCCUCGCAUCUGUUCUCACUAAUCCCCUCCAGACGUAACAAUAUGUUCUCCAAUAAGAUUAUGAUUGCUCAAUAAGCCUUAUCUAUGUAAUUCAGAAAACAUAUACCGCUUUAAACCAGCUCGCUAGAUUAGAGCAGUUUGGAGCUAAUCUGGAGUCAGUCUGGAGUCAAUCUGUGCUGCUGG
ensembl:lncRNA